UACGAAGGGGGGCUAGCGUUGUUCGGAAUUACUGGGCGUAAAGCGCACGUAGGCGGAUAUUUAAGUCAGGGGUGAAAUCCCAGAGCUCAACUCUGGAACUGCCUUUGAUACUGGGUAUCUCGAGUAUGGAAGAGGUGAGUGGAAUUCCGAGUGUAGAGGUGAAAUUCGUAGAUAUUCGGGAGAACACCAGUGGCGAAGGCGGCUCACUGGUCCAUUACUGACGCUGAGGUGCGAAAGCGUGGGGAGCAAACAGG
rnacentral:rRNA from 1 species